AAAAAGGACUCUCGGCAACGGAUAUCUCGGCUCUUGCAUCGAUGAAGAACGUAGCGAAAUGCGAUACUUGGUGUGAAUUGCAGAAUCCCGUGAACCAUCGAGUCUUUGAACGCAAGUUGUGCCCAAAGCCAUUCGGUUGAGGGCACGCCUGCCUGGGUGUCGUG
rnacentral:rRNA from 2 species